AAAAAAGAAAAUUUUUUAAAAUCACAUUUUUAACUGAAAUCUUUCCAGCCUUUCCCUUUUGCACAAUGCCCUCCUCAGGCUGGCAGGGUUUGGGUGGUGGCACCAACCUGGGAAUGUUGGGAAGUGGGAAGAGAGUCCCACAGUGCUGGAGCUCUUUGGCUCAGAAGGAUCAAUAACAUUUAUUUGCAAGUGUUUAGAGCAGAUUAUUUGCAUUUGUGAAGGUAAUGAAAAAAGUAUUGAAUUUUAAUUAGCAUUUUCUGGCUCUUCUGGGAGAACUCUGGAUUCAAUCCGUGGACACUCGCAGUGUAUUCCAGGGAAAAUUCCGGAUAAUUUUGGGUGUUCUGCCAUCACAAACCCACCUCCGAGCACGGAUUUCCAUAAAGUCCCCCCCUGCCAGGAGUUCUGGCAGGAGCAUAAUGACAGGUCUCUUGUGCUCAGAAUUGUUUUGUCAUUUCACAUCCCUGGGAACUGCUGAGAAGAAAAAUUAAAUAAAUAAAAUGACCAAUUUGCUUCUAUGAAGCCGGGCCUCAGCUGGGAAAAUGAAUUUUUUUUUAGAUAAAUAGAUCAGCUUUCUCUCUGCUCCGGGCUCCAGAAUAAAUAAUUGUGCUAAAUAUCCAUGUAAAUGUUUCCCAUAGAAAAACACACAGUGGGAAAUGAUAAAAAAUCCUGGGAGUCGGAGUGGUCACAAAAUGUGGGAUUGCUUUUCAUCCAGGGAAAAUGGACCUGCCCUCAGCGGGCUUUCCAGGUGGGAAAGGGAGGGUGGAACAAAACACAGAAGUUUUAAAGGAGAGCUGAAUAAAACCCUCAGGAAGGUGGUUGUGCUCAUGGAAAAUUGGAAUUCCUCCAUUGCACGGGGUGGAGGUGUUUGGGCAGAGCUGAGAUUCCUUAACUGGCAUUUCCCUCUCUUAUAUGGUGAGAAUUUUAUAUUUUUAUAUAUAAAUAAUAGAUAUAUAAAUUAUAUUUCCCAUUUAUAGCUUUAACUGGUUGGGUUUUUGGACUGUCUGCUCCGUUUCAAUCCUCGUGUUCCAUAGAGGGACUGGAAUUCCAUAAACAUCCCGGCUGAUGUUCUGAGCCUGACUGAUGCUUCUCCCCUGGAAAGCUCCUUGGGAACUCGUCUGGACCCGGAUUUUUGUGGUGAGAAGCAGCAGCCGGUGCCAGGAAAUGUGGCCAUUCCAGCCCCAGCCCUCCUGUCAGAGACAGGGAUUUAAUCCUGGCUGAUGGACAAGCACUUCCAUUCCGGGCUUCAAUGUGCCCAAGGAUUUGGAAAGAGCACUAAGGAGGAAUAAACCCUUCUCCAUUUUACCAGCACAAUAUUCCAGACCUGGAAACCCCGGAGGUUCCAGGACAUUUUAGUGACUUUUUCCAGCAUCUUUCCUAAGAUUCUCCUUGGAAGGUGUUUUUGCUUCCUUGUAGGAACCUGAAGCUCAGCAAAGCCCCGAACAAAGGAGGGACUCCAUGGCAGGAGCCUGGAGGUGGUGACAGGAGGGGAAUUGUGCCAGAAUUUAGACCCCAACUGAAGGCACUUGAGAACUGUGUCCAGUGUGUAUUUUUUACAUUAGUUUCUGUGUAUCCAAACAUUCAUUUCCAGCUCUGCCUGGAAGCAAUUCUGCCCAACUCCCCAGAGAAUCCGAGUAAUAAAAUCAGGUGUUCAUACCCUUCUCAGCUCCAAAUUAAAAUAACUUCUGCAAAGUCUUGUCAUGGAUCUGUUUUGGGUUUUUUUUUUCCUACUUGCUGUUCCCCAAGUUUUCUCUUUAAGGAGGAAAAUGUGGGAUAAACCAACCAGAGGAUGCUCUGGCUGGGAAAAGGUCAUCAGUCAUUCCCCCUGGGACAGCUCAGGUUCAGCUCCUUGGGAAUAGUCUGGGGAGCAAAGCUCAAAAGCUCAGUUCAGGAGGAGCUCAAAAGGUUUAGGAGGAGCUCAAAAGGUUUAGGAGGAGCUCAACAAAUUUGUGGCCUCCAACCCCUCGAGUGAAAAGGAGCUGAGAAGAUGGGAAGGGAUAAAGUGGCAAUUUGUAGAGAUAAUCCUGGCUUAAAAUGCCAUUCCAGGGGUUAAGCCUGUGGUGUUUGGGGAUAAGCUCUGCUUGCUUGUGGGUGUAUUAAUGGUGAUACUGCUGGAAUAUAUUGAAUUAACCUGUUAUUUUCAUGGAAUUGUCCAUGGUUUGGGUUGGAAGGGAUGUUAAAGAUCAUCUCCUUCCCUGAAGGGACACCUCCUGCCAGAGCAGCUUCCUCCUCUGCUCAUCUUUGUAAAAUAUUGCAGGUUUUCCUGGUUUUUCUUUGGUGAUUAUUUAUUCCUAAAAUUGGUGUCUUUGCUGUGCUUUGUGUUCAACAUGAGAGACAGUGACAAAUUUUAUUUUUUGAUCUUUUUUCCCCCCCCAUCACUGAAGGGUCCUGAGCAGAAAGAGGUUUCCCACAGCAGUAUUGCUGCCCUGGGCUCAGCUCCCUCCUGGAAUUCCAUCCGGGAAUUUUACGAUUCUUUACUUCCCUGUCUUGUUUUCUGGAGCCACCUCUUGGAAAAUGCUUAUUCUGAGGAGCUGAGUUUCCCAUCAUAAUUCUCUGCUGUUUCCUUUCGCACCUCGGGGACGUUGAUGAGACAAAUAAUUCAGCAUUUCCAGCUGCAAGACAAAUAAUUCAGCAUUUCCAGCUGCCUGGAAGGAUUUUAACUUCCAGAAAUAACCCCAAAGCUGCUCCCUUGGGCAGCAUUUGCUGCUAAUUCCCUUCCUGGAGAGAGCUGGAAUCCAUCACCUUUUAGGAUAUUUUAUGAGCAGGGUCUGUAGCAGGAGGGCAGAUGGAUUUAAUCCAGAAAAAUGAGAUGUUUGCCUUUUUCCAGGCUUUUUUUUUUUUUUUUUUCGUGGAGAAGCUUCUCCAAAAGUGCUGAAGUUUGGGCUGGAGAAGAACCAAGGGCUCUGGGUUUGCCCAAGUGUCACAAGGAGAGGAGUCACCACAGACAAUUCCAUCCUCUCCUGCUGCAAGGAGGGUUUGGGAAUCCCGGGAAAGACAUGGAAUCAUGGAAUGGUUGGGGUUGGAAGAUACCUCGAAGAGCAUCUUGUUCCACCCCCUGCCAUGGGCAGGGACACUUCCCACCAGCCCAGGUUGCUCCAACCUGGCCUUGGACACUUCCAGGGAUCCAGGGGCAGCCACAGCUUCUCUGGGAAUUCUAUUCCAGCCCCUCCC